rnacentral:tRNA from 1 species
GCCAGAGUGGCGGAAUUGGCAGACGCGACGGAUUCAAAAUCCGUUGCCCGCAAGGGUGUGUGGGUUCGAGUCCCUCCUCUGGUA